rnacentral:lncRNA from 1 species
CACCAUCUGCACAUCAUUUCUACCUAUACCACUCUAUUUUAAUCAAAUUGUCUAGUGAGUUCCCUUUUCAAUUUUACUUGGUGUUUUCAUCUAAUUUCAACAUAAAUUUACAUGACAAUUUGUGGGUUUGCGUAUUUAUUUGCGUGUGUUGGUUUUAAAAAUUGAUUUUUCAGUUGUUUUUGUUUGUGGGGUUAGAGAUGGCGGAAAAAGAUGAAGCUAUGGAUGCUCUAAAGAGGGAGGCUAUGGAUUUGGUAAUCCACUCUUUUACUUCAUAGAUUCUCUCUGUAUUUUCUACUUUUGUGUUGGUUUUUUUGUUUUUUUGAUGAAGAAAACUGGUGAAAAAGGGAAGAACAUCUUGUCUUGAUGGGUUUUAUGGUGGCAGUGAUAAGCGACGUCACAAUGAUGAGAUGAUGAUGGUGGGUGGGGUGAGCGAACAGUACCUUUUUUUAAUUUUUAGGGUGGGCUAGCUUUUUUAUUUUUGAC